GGGUCAGUAGGUUGGUCGUGCCACCGGUACGUACUGGUCUCACUGAUUCCUCCUUCCCGAAGAACCGUAAUGCCAUUAAUUUGGUGUUGCGAGGAAACAGGACUGUUACUUUGAAAAAAUUAGAGUGUUUAAAGCAAGCUAACGCUUGAAUACAUUAGCAUGGAAUAAUGAAAUAGGACGAUCGAUCCUAUUUUGUUGGUUUCUAGGAUUGACGUA
rnacentral:rRNA from 1 species